rnacentral:lncRNA from 1 species
AUGAACUCUGUGUCGGAUAUUGCAGAUCGUCAACCAUGGUAUUAGUUCUAAAUGUGUGUAUUGUUUCUGUAUAUGAGAUUAAGGCUGUUGAUGUAAUUUAUCUGUCAGAAUUAAUCUAUAAUGUGUUGAUACGCAAAACAAAAUACGUUUCGUUCCAUACUACCUAAGACCACACUGUGUAUGGAAUUUUGCCAAUCAUAUAAGGACCGC